rnacentral:rRNA from 1 species
UGGGGAAUUUUGGACAAUGGGGGAAACCCUGAUCCAGCCAUCCCGCGUGUGCGAUGAAGGCCUUCGGGUUGUAAAGCACUUUUGGCAGGAAAGAAACGUCAUGGGUUAAUACCCCGUGAAACUGACGGUACCUGCAGAAUAAGCACCGGCUAACUACGUGCCAGCAGCCGCGGUAAUACGUAGGGUGCAAGCGUUAAUCGGGAUUACUGGGCGUAAAGCGUGCGCAGGCGGUUCGGAAAGAAAGAUGUGAAAUCCCAGAGCUCAACUUUGGAACUGCAUUUUUAACUACCGGGCUAGAGUGUGUCAGAGGGAGGUGGAAUUCCGCGUGUAGCAGUGAAAUGCGUAGAUAUGCGGAGGAACACCGAUGGCGAAGGCAGCCUCCUGGGAUAACACUGACGCUCAUGCACGAAAGCGUGGGGAGCAAACAGG